rnacentral:rRNA from 1 species
CGGACGGGUGAGUAACGCGUGAGAAUCUGCCAAAAGGACGGGGACAACAGGGGGAAACCGCUGCUAAAACCCGAUGUGCCGGAAGGUAAAAAAUUUAUUGCCUUUUGAUGAGCUCGCGUCAGAUUAGCUAGUUGGUGAGGUAAAGGCUCACCAAGGCGACGAUCUGUAGCUGGUCUGAGAGGACGACCAGCCACACUGGGACUGAGACACGGCCCAGACUCCUACGGGAGGCAGCAGUGGGGAAUUUUCCGCAAUGGGCGAAAGCCUGACGGAGCCAGACCGCGUGGGGGACGAAGGCUCUUGGGUUGUAAACCCCUUUUCUCAGGGAAGAAAAAAAUGACGGUACCUGAGGAAUAAGCAUCGGCUAACUCCGUGCCAGCAGCCGCGGCAAGACGGAGGAUGCAAGCGUUAUCCGGAAUUAUUGGGCGUAAAGCGUUCGUAGGUGGCUGUUCAAGUCUGCUGUCAAAGAGCAAGGCUCAACCUUGUCAAGGCAGUGGAAACUGAAAGGCUAGAGUGUGGUAGGGGUAGAGGGAACUCCCAGUGUAGCGGUGAAAUGCGUAGGGAUUGGGAAGAACACCGGCGGCAAAAGCGCUCUACUGGACCUGCACUGACACUGAGGGACGAAAGCUAGGGGAGCGAAUGGGAUUAGAUACCCCAGUAGUC